AGAGUGAACGCUGGCGAUAGGCCUAACGCAUGCAAGUCGAACGGCAGCACAGUAGGAGCUUGCUCUUACGGGUGGCGAGUGGCGGACGGGGUGAGGAAUACAUCGGAAUCUACCUUUUGGUGGGGGGAUAACGUAGGGAAACUUACGCUAAUACCGCAUACGCCCUUCGGGGGAAAGGCCGGGGACCAGCAAUGGCCUGGCGCUGAUAGAUGAGCCGAUGUCGGAUUAGCUAGUUGGUGAGGUAAUGGCUCACCAAGGCGACGAUCCGUAGCUGGUCUGAGAGGAUGAUCAGCCACACUGGAACUGAGACACGGUCCAGACUCCUACGGGGAGGCAGCAGUGGGGGAAUAGUUGGACAAGUGGGGCGCAAGCCUG
rnacentral:rRNA from 1 species